GGCCUCUUCGUCUAACGGUUAGGACACAUGGUUCUCAACCAUGCAACAGGAGUUCGACUCUCCUAGAGGCUA
rnacentral:tRNA from 4 species